GUGGCAAUCCAAGUCGGCUGUCUAAAUACGAGCAAGCGAUUUGUGUGUCUAGUUGCUAGUUGGCAACAACGACUUUGUGCCGGAGCCAUGGCAAUAGCUGCCUCGCCAAUUGAGUUUAUGCCAAAUGAUAAUAUUCACCUGCAGCUUUCCGCUGGGAUAUCCGCAAUAACCGACAGGAAUUUGAUGGAAUUUCCUGUAAACAGGCAGCUCGCAGCAGACAGACAGACGUACAGCCACUUCCCUCGAAUAGACAGACUCACAGACAAGGCAUAAACGCAUACAGUGAACACCCGGGAUGUAGGAUGAAGGGGACA
rnacentral:sRNA from 1 species